rnacentral:tRNA from 1 species
GGGCCCAAUGCUCCGUUAGCAGAGCCGCUGACUUUUAAUCAGCUAGUCACAGGAUCGAAUUCUGUCGGGCUCACCA